GAUGAAGACGUAGCGAAAUGCGAUAAGUAGUGUGAAUUGCAGAAUUCAGUGAAUCAUCGAAUCUUUGAACGCACAUUGCGCCCCUUGGUAUUCCAUGGGGCAUGCCUGUUCGAGCGUCAUUUGUACCUUCAAGCUUUGCUUGGUGUUGGGUGUUUGUCCCGAGGGACUCGCCUUAAAGUAAUUGGCAGCCAGUGUUUGGUUUUGAAGCGCAGCACAAGUCGCGAUUCAAGGCUACACGCCCGCUUCCACAAGCCUUUUUUCACUUUUGACCUCGGAUCAGGUAGGGAUACCCGCUGAACUUAAGCAUACAAUAAGCGGAGGA
rnacentral:misc_RNA from 1 species